rnacentral:rRNA from 1 species
UGGGGAAUAUUGCACAAUGGGCGCAAGCCUGAUGCAGCCAUGCCGCGUGUAUGAAGAAGGCCUUCGGGUUGUAAAGUACUUUCAGCGGGGAGGAAGGGAGUAAAGUUAAUACCUUUGCUCAUUGACGUUACCCGCAGAAGAAGCACCGGCUAACUCCGUGCCAGCAGCCGCGGUAAUACGGAGGGUGCAAGCGUUAAUCGGAAUUACUGGGCGUAAAGCGCACGCAGGCGGUUUGUUAAGUCAGAUGUGAAAUCCCCGGGCUCAACCUGGGAACUGCAUCUGAUACUGGCAAGCUUGAGUCUCGUAGAGGGGGGUAGAAUUCCAGGUGUAGCGGUGAAACGCGUAGAGAUCUGGAGGAAUACCGGUGGCGAAGGCGACCCCCUGGACGAAGACUGACGCUCAGGUGCGAAAGCGUGGGGAGCAAACAGG